ACGGGAGGCAGCAGUGAGGAAUAUUGGUCAAUGGUCGGAAGACUGAACCAGCCAAGUCGCGUGCAGGAAGACGGUCCUAUGGAUUGUAGACUGCUUUUGUACGGGAAUAAAGUGGGGGACGUGUCCCCCUUGGAAUGUACCGUAAGAAUAAGGGUCGGCUAACUCCGUGCCAGCAGCCGCGGUAAUACGGAGGACCCGAGCGUUAUCCGGAUUUAUUGGGUUUAAAGGGUGCGCAGGCGGAGGAUUAAGUCAGCGGUGAAAUUUUCAUGCUCAACAUGAAAACUGCCAUUGAUACUGGUCCCCUUGAGAAAUGUCGAGGAUGGCGGAAUGUGAUGUGUAGCGGUGAAAUGCUUAGAUAUGUCACAGAACACCGAUUGCGAAGGCAGCUGUCCAGAGAUCUUCUGACGCUCAGGCACGAAAGCAUGGGUAUCAAACAGGAUUAGAUACCCCGGUA
rnacentral:rRNA from 1 species